GGGGAUGAUUUUGGAUUCGACCGGAAGCAUGGAGUCCUAAGUGCAUGUCGAGGUGCGGUUGGCCUCGUUAAUAAGCCGCAAACAAAUAGUCGCAAACGACGAAAACUACGCUCUGGCAGCUUAAUAACCUGCGCAUAGCCCUCAGUUCCAGGCCUUUCUAGUGACGCCUGGUCUUACUGGGGUCAGUUUUUCACUAGAUCGUGUGGAGUCUUUGUCUGAGGAUGAAGCACUAAAUAAAUUAUCAGACUGGGUAUCGUGUGGCGUGGCCGUCCGCAGCAUGGUAUCGAGAUCAAAGACAAGCCUAAACAUGUAGUACUGAAGAUGAAGUCUUUUGGGACGAGGGUUCGAACCCCUCCAUCUCCACCA
rnacentral:tmRNA from 1 species